AGGACGAACGCUGGCGGCGUGCUUAACACAUGCAAGUCGAACGGGGCACUUCGGUGCUUAGUGGCGAACGGGUGAGUAACACGUGAACAACCUGCCCUUGGCUCUGGGAUAGCCUCCGGAAACGGGGAUUAAUACCGGACAGGACCCUGGUCUGCAUGGACCGGGGUGGAAAGUUUUUCGGCCAGGGAGGGGCUCGCGGCCUAUCAGCUUGUUGGAGGGGUAACGGCCCACCAAGGCGACGACGGGUAGCC
rnacentral:rRNA from 1 species